GACGAAGGAUGCAAGCGUUAUCCGGAUUCAUUGGGUUUAAAGGGAGCGUAGGUGGCCUUAUAAGUCAGUGGUGAAAUCUUUGGGCUUAACCCAAAAAUUGCCAUUGAUACUGUAGGGCUUGAGUACAGUUGCCGUUGGCGGAAUAUGACAUGUAGUGGUGAAAUACAUAGAGAUGUCAUAGAACACCGAUUGCGAAGGCAGCUAACGAAACUGUAACUGACACUGAGGCUCGAAAGUGCGGGGAUCAAACAGGA
rnacentral:rRNA from 1 species